GACAGAGGGUGCAAACGUUGCUCGGAAUUACUGGGCGUAAAGCGCGUGUAGGCGGGCCCCCAAGUCGGACGUGAAAGCCCUGAGCUCAACUCAGGAACUGCAUCCGAAACUGAGGGCCUGGAGUAGUGGAGAGGGAAGCAGAAUUCCUGGUGUAGAGGUGAAAUUCGUAGAUAUCAGGAGGAACACCGAUGGCGAAGGCGGCUUCCUGGACACUUACUGACGCUGAGACGCGAAAGCGUGGGGAGAAAACAGG
rnacentral:rRNA from 1 species